rnacentral:tRNA from 1 species
GGAUGGGUGGCAGAGCGGUCGAAUGCGACGGUCUUGAAAACCGCUGUGGGGGCAACUCCACCGGGGGUUCGAAUCCCUCCCCAUCCGCCA